UACAGAGGUCUCAAGCGUUGUUCGGAUUCAUUGGGCGUAAAGGGUGCGUAGGUGGCGCCGUAAGUCGGGUGUGAAAUUCCGGAGCUUAACUCCGAAACUGCAUUCGAUACUGCGGUGCUUGAGGACUGGAGAGGAGACUGGAAUUCAUGGUGUAGCAGUGAAAUGCGUAGAGAUCAUGAGGAAGACCAGUGGCGAAGGCGGGUCUCUGGACAGUUCCUGACACUGAGGCACGAAGGCCAGGGGAGCAAACGGG
rnacentral:rRNA from 1 species